GUGUGUAUGGUGCAGCGGGAACGUUAUAAUUAACCAUCACCUAUAGUCUCAAAAUGUUACGCAAAUUGCCCAUCAAUUUUGCGAAAUGGACUGUAAAAAAGGUGCCAGUUCAGCAGAAAAGAUUUAAUAGUCAACAAAAAGAAAUCUCACCUCAUGUAAGCUUUUCUAAAUACGCUUUAGGUCAUAAAUUUUAUCUGUGCUAAAAUUCAUUCAAGCAUUUUUGCAUUGUUUUAUUUAACAUUAUUUUAUUAACGAUCAUAAAGAUUAUGUUUUAUAAAAACUACGCUAGACCUCUUGGUAAAGUGACGCUUUUUGCCUUAGCAACUUAUUAUGGAUUGGAAAUAGUUUGGUGGAAAUUAGAUGCAUCAGAACAGGAAGCUAUUAAAAACAGUAAGUUGUUGAUAUGUGAAAGCUCUUUUAGUUUGUUGACAUUUAGGCGAAUUACGGAAUUUAGAGAAUGCGAAAUAAAAACACGAGAUUUGUAUGACCCAGAAAUUUAGUAACGUAUAUGGCUUAAAGAAGCGAGAUUACGAUUUGUUAAUAGUUCAGUAUGUCAAAAAUUCUUUGAAUAGCUAAAUGCUACAGACGAAACACUCAGUCAAAAGGUCCUCGAGUUGUUUGUUCAAAUAAUCGAGAAGAGGUUAUUUUUUCUUCGAGUUUUACGUCGGUUACCUAAGACUAAAUACAUCUACUUAGAAAAUACGAAAACCCCAAGUAAAGCUUCACAUAAAUAAGGUUGCAAAACAAACUGAACAUUUAUACUUAUGAACAUGUAGAUAAAUUGCCAAAAAAAAGGUUGACGAACUCUAAGAUUACGAAUAAUUAUAGAAAAUGAAGAAGCUUUGGUGUUCUAAAAUGUCAAACUUAUAUAUAAGAGUUUGGAACCAAAGCGUGAAACAUGCUUACUCUUCGUCAAUAAUUUCUUCCUCCAAUCGAAUACCUUCUUUGGCAAGUGUAUCAAUCAAUGGACCGCAAAGCUUCAUAUCAUUAGGAGCCAAAACACCUGGGGUGUUAAUAACACCAUCAAGAAUUUGCUGAGUAGCAACACCACAAGGAACGCCGACUAAUUUUGCCAUAGAGGUGUAGCCAUUAGGAACACCGUAGUCAAGCAAAGUGCAAGUACGAGUUUGGCGUUUUCCUUCUUUGGUUUCAACUUCAAACUUGUGUUGAAGGAUUAACAUAUCACGUUCACCUUCUUCGUAUUGCAUAAGUUCCUCCAAGGUAGCGCAUAAGGUGUCCAAAGGAUUACCACGAGGAGUAACGGGUUUGCUAGAGAACAUACCAAGCCACUUCAAACCAUUCAAAAUGCGCUUCUUGUCGUCUUCAUCUUUGAAUUUGUGGAUGGAAGAAAUUUUCUUGAUUAGGUCGGCUUCGGAGGAAGAUUCAGCCUUGAUGACACGAGCAGUAACCUCCUUCCAAGGCAAAGCGGGUGCUUCAGGAGAUAAGUAUUCCUGAGCUGUCUCAUCCAAAAAUCCCAUAUCAACCAAACAAUGAAUAAACUCGGGAAAUCCUUGGUAACGUAAAGUACCGCGAAUGAUAGUUUCUGCUUCAGGUAUUUGAUAGCGCUCUUGGUAGACAGUGGAAUCACGAUUAGGAUAACAAACGAAAGCGUAACCGGGAUAGAUGAAAUAGGGUUUAGCAGUUUCCAUCAAAUCCUUGCCGUCAAUUUCAACAAGUUUGCCGUUUUCAUAAAACUUGGCAGAGUUGCGAAGAGCCAACAAAACACCACGAGAAGACCAAGAAAACUUGUAUCCUAAAGGAUUGUUGGAGUCCUCGGGAGCGGGAAGACCUCCACAAUAAGACAAGAAAGACUUAAUCUUACCGCCAGCUUUAUGAACCUCUUCAAUGGUCUUGAUAGCAUAUAAAUGAUCAAUACCGGGAUCGACGCCGAUUUCGUUCAUACAAAUAGAACCAGCCUUGAUGGCAGCUUCCUCCAACUCAGCCAUUUUGGGAUUCACAUAACUGGUGGUACAAACGUGUUUACCAUGCUUAAUGGCAGCUUUCAUAACUGUUGCAUGAUAAGUGUAAGGAAUCAAGCUGAUGGUAAGAUCAUGUUCGGAAACAGCUUUCUCAAGAGCUGCUUCAUCAUUGACAUCCAAAGCAAUGGCUUUGCUGUUUGGGAUACCAUUAAUAAAUGCUUCAGCCUUAGAAAGAGUUCUGCAUGCUACGGUUAUAUUAUUUUCUUUACGACGAGAUAAAUAUUCUAAAGUAGGAUGAGCGACAAAUCCCGAACCAAGUAAUAAGAUGGAAGGCAUUUUGAUGUUGAAAAUGAAAGAGGCAGUCAGUUAAGGACAAGUGGUAAACCAAAGACUUCUGUUUUGUCGUCACGGUUUUAGCGAUAUAUAAGGGGUUCCUUUUUAUCCACAGAUUUAUUUCUGAUGGCCGAAAUCGUCGUCUAAAUUGAUGAAAACUGAUUAUCUCGAAUCGGUUAAAAAAGCAGUCACAUGGACCAUUUUUUGAAUUAAUAUUUAAUCGUUACGUUUCCUCUCAAUGUUAUGUUUGGCUUACUAGGGGAAUUCGUUAUUAUCGACAAGUUUAGUCGAUAAUUUGUUAGCAGCGAUGUCGCAACUGAUAGUUUUAGCAACUUUUUUUACGUAGUUUUUUUCUGCAGAACAGAAGUUGCUUAAAAGCUAGUAGAUGCCAUUCGUUGUUGUUUGGGGGUAGAUUAAAGAAUUCUAAGCUUUAGUAUAAGAAUAAUUUGUUUCUCCUCUUUCUGCCUAUCUGUUGUUCAUAAUCAACUGCGUAGUUCUGGUGAAGGAGUAAAUUAAACUGCCUCGCACCGCCGUACUCAUUUUUACCUCGAGUAUGGUGGCCGUGGAAUGGUGGUUUUUUAUGCAGUCGGGAAUGAAAGCAGCUGUAAUUUCCUUGCAUAAUGAGCCUAAAUACCUUUUUACAUAGAAGUUAAAAUUUAUGAGAUUUUAAAUUAAAAAAUCAUCAAAAGUGCAAAUUUUCAAGUACAUAUACGAAUAAAUUUAAU
rnacentral:misc_RNA from 1 species